rnacentral:lncRNA from 1 species
CGCCAAAAGAUCUUCUAUAUAUAGUCUCUUUCCACUUCACUCAUCUUCACUUCUCUCUUUUUUUUCAGUAGGGUUUCUCUUCCGCUAAUCGCCGCAUCCUCUCCCAUGGCCGAUCUCUCUACCUUCCUAGACGAUAUUCCCGAUUUCAACGGUAACUCUCUAAACUCCUCUGAAGAUCCUCCCUCCGUACUUAGUAGGCGGCAAGCCCGCCGUCAUUUCCAGGUGAUCGCUCCCUCUGUAGCGAUAGCUCAUCUUGAAAUCCCCAAUGAUGCUUCUGCCUCUUCGCCUCCUGAUGGCUAUACUGCCCUCUAUUCGGGUUUUGAGGACUUAGGGCUUCGGCUUCCCGCCUCUCCCUUCCUCUUGUCUUUUCUUUCGUAUACUGGUGUUGCUAUUU